AAACAAAAUAAAUUAAACCUAAUUGCAUUUAUACAAAUUAAUGAAGAUAAAAGUGUGUAAUUACAUCAAAACUUGGUAAAAGGGACCAAUAAAAAGGUAUAAAAAGUAGUACAAAUUGGUCCCUAACAACUCUCCCCAACUUAGCAUUUUGUUUGUCCCUAAACAAAAGUUUCCACCCUCACAACCAAGAUCAUGACACAAAAGAUUUAAACAAGCAUUUAUCAAGGACAUUCAAAUGGUUCAAAAGUGUUUGGCCUCUUCUCAAUUCACCUCUCUCAAUUCUAGACAAACAUGAAUAAGGGAAAUGGUAAAGUGCAAAAAUCAUUCCAAGUAUCUCAAAGCUAUACAUGUCAAAAUUGAAUCAAACUUACGCACACAUCAAUGUUGAUGAAUAACAUGAAGGGUUACUUUCACUCAUCCAAGCAGUUAAAUCAACAACAAAUCGAAUCAUGCGGCUAUCACAACAAGUACCAAAUCAUGUGAAAAAUGAGAAUCAAGAGGUCUUUAAGGUUGUAAUUUGGCUUAGGUUGCAAGAAAGGAUAUGAUUAAGAGAAUUCAAAAAGGUUGUCUAUCCUAAGGGAGCAUUCCCAAAGAUUCAACUCUACCAAUUUCCUUUUCCUUGGUUCCUAUCUUUUCUUUUCAAAUCCACACAACCAUUAGCAUAUUUUAUUUUAUUUUAUUUUUUUCUUUUUUUCUUUUUUUCUUUUUUUUUUUUUAUAUGCUCUAUGGUUUCAAGGGUGAUUUCUUUUUCUUGUUUCUUUUCAUAUUCUUACCCUUCCAAAGAACUCACUAUUCCAAGUUCCCUAUCAACUCUUCACUUUACUCUCCCCAACUUUAGAUUCCACAACCGAUUUAUUCAAUAAUGCUCCCUACUUAAGAAUAAGCAAAAGGCAAAAAUUUUUUUGCAAACAACUCGGUUUGAGGUUUCAACUGAUGCGAAAGAAAUUAGGAUUCAUUUAUUCCACAAUUUUCAAUUGAUUUUACAAUGAUC
rnacentral:lncRNA from 1 species